rnacentral:lncRNA from 1 species
UAGCUCGAUAUCCCCAACCCAAUCAGCCCAAUCACCUAACCCUAAGCCCACUAGUCUUAACCACAAGAAGAAACCCUAGGCAUUCAGCCCUAGUACCAGCAUCGCAGCCAAUACGUUCCCCUCUCGUGCGUACGCCACCACACCUUCAAGCCACUCCUCACACGCGACACCGUACGGCCUCCGUACACCUCCAAGACACAAAGCAACAAAAGACAGACAAAAAGAAGAAGCAG